CAUUUUAUUUUCUCCCUCUCUUCCUACCUCCUUCCCCCCGCCCCCUUGACCUCUGUUGUCAACAAGAGACCUUCAAAUUCAGCACAAAUAUUUUGAGAUGACAGGGAGAAAUGGCGCUCAGAGUCUAUGUCAUACUGCACCGAUGGCGUCUGAUAUCCUGUUCUUGGAAGCUGAGCAGGACUGGGCCUGUGUACCCACGCAGACACAAUAUGGAUUCUCCCAGCAUCUGAGAAGAGAACACCUUAGGAAGGCAAAAAUAAUAAAGGAUCAACUUUCAAAGCAGUGCUUGGAAGGAUUUAAAUACGCACCACUGAA